rnacentral:rRNA from 1 species
GACGAACGCUGGCGGCGUGCUUAACACAUGCAAGUCAGGGAGAAAGGGGUAGCAAUAUCCUGAGUACACCGGCGCACGGGUGAGUAACACGUAGGCAAUCUACCAUUAGGACGGGGACAACCUCGAGAAAUCGAGGCUAAUACCCGAUAAUGCAGCGGCACCGCAUGGUGAUGUUGUUAAAGGCCCGCAAGGGCGCCUAUUGAUGAGCCUGCGUCCCAUUAGGUAGUUGGCGGGGUAACGGCCCACCAAGCCGACGAUGGGUAGCUGGUCUGAGAGGAUGAUCAGCCACACUGGAACUGAGACACGGUCCAGACUCCUACGGGAGGCAGCAGUGAGGAAUAUUGCGCAAUGGCCGAAAGGCUGACGCAGCGACGCCGCGUGAGGGAUGAAGUCCGUUAGGAUGUAAACCUCUUUUGCGAGGGAUGAAUGUUCCGCCUUGUGCGGACUUGACCGUACCUCGCGAAUAAGGGACGGCUAACUACGUGCCAGCCGCCGCCGUAAAAC